CCUACGGGUGGCUGCAGUCGAGGAUCUUCGGCAAUGGGGGCAACCCUGACCGAGCGAUGCCGCGUGGGCGACGAAGGCCUUCGGGUUGUAAAGCCCUGUCGAGGGGGAGAAAGGCCGCAAGGCGUGAUCUAUCCCUGGAGGAAGCUCGGGCUAAGUUCGUGCCAGCAGCCGCGGUAAGACGAACCGAGCGAACGUUGUUCGGAAUCACUGGGCUUAAAGGGCGCGUAGGCGGCCCGCCGCGUCCGGGGUGAAAUCCCGCGGCUCAACCGCGGAACGGCCCCGGGUACGGGCGGGCUGGAGGGGGGUAGGGGCAGGCGGAACGGUGCGUGGAGCGGUGAAAUGCGUUGAUAUGCACCGGAACUCCGGUGGCGAAGGCGGCCUGCUGGACCCCACCUGACGCUGAGGCGCGAAAGCCAGGGGAGCGAACGGGAUUAGAUACCCUAGUAGUC
rnacentral:rRNA from 1 species